rnacentral:tRNA from 1 species
AAGUCACUAGUAAAACUGAAAAUUACAUUACCUUGUCAAGAUAAAAUUGUGGGUUUAAACCCUGCGUGCCUUA